GCUUACGGCCAUACCACCCUGAACACGCCCGAUCUGUCCGAUCUGGAAGCUAAGCAGGGUCGGGCCUGGUUAGUACUUGGAUGGGAGACGCCUGGGAAUACCAGGUGCUGAAGCU
rnacentral:rRNA from 1 species